GUAGGGAAUAUUGGGCAAUGGAGGCAACUCUGACCCAGCCAUGUCGCGUGAGUGAUGAAGGCCCUAGGGUUGUAAAGCUCUUUCACCGGUGAAGAUAAUGACGGUAACCGGAGAAGAAGCCCCGGCUAACUUCGUGCCAGCAGCCGCGGUAAUACGAAGGGGGCUAGCGUUGUUCGGAAUUACUGGGCGUAAAGCGCACGUAGGCGGGUAUUUAAGUCAGGGGUGAAAUCCCGGAGCUCAACUCCGGAACUGCCUUUGAUACUGGGUACCUAGAGUAUGGAAGAGGUAAGUGGAAUUCCGAGUGUAGAGGUGAAAUUCGUAGAUAUUCGGAGGAACACCAGUGGCGAAGGCGGCUUACUGGUCCAUUACUGACGCUGAGGUGCGAAAGCGUGGGGAGCAAACAGGAUUAGAAACCCGAGUAGUCC
rnacentral:rRNA from 1 species